AGAUAGAGAGAGAGAGAGAGAGAUCUGCUGUCUGUGUUUACAUUUCGUGGUCGGUAGUUGACAUUUCGCUCGCUGUAGAUUUGCGUGUUUUUCAUGUAUUUUCCGGUCUCUAACGCCGCCAAUACAGUGGCGGCAGGCAGUGUGUGUGUGUGUGUGUGUGUGUGUGCGCGCGACAAAGAGAGACGGACAGAGAGAAGGGGGGAUGAACAUAAGGGCAGGAGGAGUAUUUUGGUCAGCACUGGUUAGUCUUACCCCAUACACACACACACACACACACACACAAACACUAGUGACCAGUGUUUCCAUAUUCCCUGGAGCUUCCUCCUGCAUUAAACACCACCAAGCAUCAUCAAAGAGACACGACUACUUAAUGACAGUGAUGGAAGCUGAAUGUUUUCCUCGGCAUUGGUCAGUCUUAACACACACACACACACACACACACACACACAGACACUAGUGACCAGUGCUUCCAUAUUCCCUGCAGCUUCCUCCUGCAUCAAACACCACCAAGCAUCACUAGAGAGACACGGCUACUUAAUGUAAUGUGAGUACAGCAAUGACUGCCUCGGUUAACAUCACCGCCUACACCAUAACACUCAACCCUUCCUCCUCCCUCCAGUAGCGUCUUUCAGUUCUUCAUUAUUAUUCGUUAUUAGGGUACUUUUUGAGAUUAUCGAUUUAUAUUUUACUUAUGUUUAUAUCUGAGUCGCGAUAUAGCUUGAAAUUUAGUAAAAAAUAAUGAAGGAUCGUCAAAAUGACAUCUGCGGUAGACAUAGGUCGUCCCUACUCAGCCAUUAUUUGCUUUAUUUCUCACGUAUUGUAAGCCAAACAUGUCACAAAAUGUAGCCUCAGUUCGAAUUUUCAUGUCCGCCUGUGAGGUAUAUCGCCAUUGCCUGGCUUUAGUGUGAUAACAGAGUAAUUAAGGCAAAUUAGCGGCCGCCAUGUUUGAUCUCUACAGGCCCCAGCCUGCUCUUCGGUUCCAAUAUAUUUUCGUUUUCCUUAACUCUUUAAGUUCGGUUUCUAAGUAAUUUUUUAUGGUUUGUAUAAAUGUUUCGUUGCUUAUGAAGUGGUUUUGAGGCUUUUGUUAAGGAAAUGUGUUGUAUUUGCUGUUGUUUAUAACGUAACUAUAGGCCUGUUUUUGGGCUGAAUUUUACGGAACCCCAUUGUUGGCUUUUUUAUUCGAGGCUAUAAUGAAGUUCUUUAUACUUUAAAAAAUCGCUUAUGAUUUUUAAACUGGUUUGCCGUCCUGUUGAGUUAAAUAUGUGGACUUUAAAAUGAUUUGUGGUCCUGUUAAAAGUCGAAAUGUUGACAUUUUUUAUUUCCUUAUUUCCUUAUUUGAGCUUUUAAGUAACUCUAGGUUAUUUGAAAAAAUAGUUCAGAUUUUUUAAAGUGCUUUGCAUUGCUAUUAAGUUAAAAUGGGUGGACUUUUCAAUGUUUUUUAUUCGUGUUUAGGUUCCAACACUUUUUUUUACAGAUUUAUUUUUCAUUCGUUUACUUCUGGUUCUAGAUAAGUUUUAAUUGAUUGAAAAGAUAGUUCAUAUUUUUAAAGUGUUUUUAUUUCUGUUAAGUGAAAAAAUAGGUAGACUUUUCAAUGGUUUUAAUGGGGUCAAAUGUUCCAACGUUUUUUUCAUAAUUCAUAUUGAUAUUUCUUUCAUACUACUGAGGCUGGAGAUGUUAUAAUAUUAUGAAUAUUUAUUAAAGUAAUUAUCAAGUCAGAAUAUAUAAUGCAUUCCAACCUAGCUCCAUUUUUUCUAUGGGUCAAUUUUAAAAUGAAAUACGUUACGCACGUAUCCUGGCGUGACGUCACGACCUCAGGUGUGACGUCAUCAGGGGGCCAGGGGGGGGUUCUCUGCCACAGACCCUUAUCUUCAAUAUUUCGAGAGAUUGCGCAGCUGGUGAGGGAUCAAGGGGAGAUGGUGUCCAUGACUCACAGGUCAAGACAGAGAAGGGGCGGGUGAACCUGCAGGAGGCCAGGGUCAACAUGCAGAAGGUGCUGAAGAAGGUUAUCUUUGGCAUCAUCCUCGGGGUCGUCCUGCUCAUUGUUGUCCUCUUCAUCAUCUUUGUAUGUGAAUGUUAGGUUAGGUUGAGGUAGUGUGUGUAUUUGUUUAGAGUGUGUGUGUGUGUGUGUGUGUGUGUGUGUGUGUGUGUGUGUGUGUGUGUGUGUGUGUGUGUGUUUUUCCUGUCUGUGCUUUUCACAGAAUUCAGAAUUAAGUGUGUGUGUGUGUGUGUGUGUUUUCCUAUUAGUGCUUUUUACAGGAUUUAGAAUUUAGUGUGUGUGUGUGUGUGUGCUUUCCUGUUUAUGCUUCUUACAAAAUUUAGAAUUAAGUUUAGGUGUGUGUGAGUGUGUGUGUGUGUGUGUGUGUGUGUGUCUGUGUGUAUGUGUGUGUUUCGUGUCCAUGCUUUUUACAUAAUUCAUAAUUAAGUGUGUGUGUUUGUUUUUCCUGUCUAUUCUUUUCACAGAAUUCAGAAUUAAGUGUGUGUCUGUUUCAGCGUGUUGUGU